UUCGUUUUCAUUUUGAACGAA
rnacentral:piRNA from 1 species